GGAGCAAUUAAGCUUAAAAGACUGAAGCCAGGUAGAUGAGCCUAUUCCAGGAGGUCUCUUGGCUCCACCCUUGUGAAGUGAAACCUGCCAGGUGUGGAUCAUUUGACUUUUGCUAUAUAGGAAGCCUGAGGACUUGUGGGGAAUUGCCUUCCCGGUGGGAGAGUUUGAGGCUCAGGUUCUCUAGGGUGCUUUUCUGCUGUUGUGGUGGAGCGGAUUCAGUGUUCCUCGGUGGGCUGCUAUUUCUUCACGUUUUCUCCCAUCUCUGUGAAACAGUUUUAGUGACUCUAUGAGCUAGCUACGUUGUUGGUGCCCUCUCAGUACAGUGAGACCCUGGUUACGCGAAGUCACUGUGAAGCAGCGUGGAAGUGACUCAAGUUCAGGAGCUGGCAGUGAAAUUACUUCUGUGGCUUCUAAGCUCCCUUUCCAGCCCUUCCAAAUAUAAUGAGAAUGAAAGCUAAAAAGAAAGCCCCACCAACUCAGAAGCUCAAGUGCUUACAGGCCUGCGUCUCGGCUGUGGAGAAAGAUUUGGAAUAGGUCCACCAGUGAGGAGAGACUAUCUUUCUCCCAGGCUGUACAAACCAGUGUCUGAGGUAUUGGGGAAAGCGUCCUUCUGUGAAAGGAAGAGAGCAGAGCGGGACCACGGCCCGUGCCACCCUGCGGUUCUACCAGCGUGACCAUGCAGAGACGGUGAGAGUAAAGGAAGAAAAAUUGAAGCUGCUGUUAAAGGCAUGGCUACCUGAGUUGUAAAUAAAAAAAAAAAAAAAAA